UACGAAGGUGGCUAGCGUUGUUCGGAUUUAUUGGGCGUAAAGGGUCCGCAGGCGGUUUGGCAAGUCAGGUGUGAAAUCCCACAGCUCAACUGUGGACACGCAUUUGAAACUUCCAGACUAGAGUAUGAGAGGGGUAAAAGGAAUUUCCAGUGUAGGGGUGAAAUCCGUAGAUAUUGGAAAGAACACCGGCCGCGAAGGCGUUUUACUGGCUCAUUACUGACGCUCAGGGACGAAAGCCAGGGGAGCAAACGGG
rnacentral:rRNA from 1 species